rnacentral:rRNA from 1 species
UACGGGGGGGGGCAAGCGUUGUUCGGAAUUACUGGGCGUAAAGGGUUCGUAGGUGGCCAACUAAGUCAGACGUGAAAAUCCCUCAGCUUAACUGGGGAACUGCGUCUGAGACUGGAUGGCUUGAGUGCAGGAGAGGAACGCGGAAUUCCAGGUGUAGCGGUGAAAUGCGUAGAUAUCUGGAGGAACACCGGUGGCGAAGGCGGCGUUCUGGACUGCAACUGACACUGAGGAACGAAAGCCAGGGGAGCAAACGGG